rnacentral:pre_miRNA from 1 species
AGGAGAACAACCACAUUGGCGGCGGUCAGCCCUGGUGGUGGAUUCAGCCCCCGCAGUAACUCCGGAGCUCUCCGUCUGCAGGGCCUGGAGGCUCCGGGCGGGG